UACGUAGGGGGCAAGCGUUGUCCGGAAUCAUUGGGCGUAAAGGGCGCGUAGGCGGUGCAUCAAGUCAGGCGUGAAAGCCCCGGGCUUAACCUGGGAAUUGCGCUUGAUACUGAUGCGCUAGAGAGCGGGAGAGGAUGGCGGAAUUCCCAGUGUAGAGGUGAAAUUCGUAGAUAUUGGGAAGAACACCGGUGGCGAAGGCGGCCAUCUGGACCGUUUCUGACGCUGAGGCGCGAAAGCGUGGGGAGCAAACAGG
rnacentral:rRNA from 1 species